rnacentral:lncRNA from 1 species
GUUUCCGUAAUUUCACAUAACACUGUCUUGUAGAGAUACUGUGAUCGUCAAGAUGAAGAACCUGUUUGCUGCUUUGUUGAUGGCGCUAGUGUUGGCCCUCUCUCAGGCCUCCUUUGGUUAUGAUCAAAAGUACGGUUAUGAUAACCGGGGAUACGUGGGAUAUGACUAUCCAAAGGGUGACAGCUACAGACCCUCGUAUGACCCUUAUAAGCCCAAAUAUGGCUCCUACAGGCCCAGGUAUGACUACCAGAAGCCCAAAUAUGACAACUACCAGUACCCUCGCUACUAUUAGCAGCGUUCCUGCCCCAAACCUGAAACGAACCACAGAACAAAAUGGACACUGAUUCGCAAUUAUCAGUAGAGCAAUAAAUUGUAAAACUCUCA